rnacentral:lncRNA from 1 species
UAUAUUAGAUUGGGUUAAUUUCACACAACUCCUUGUAAAUAUAUCGAAUAACAAAUAUAUCCUUACAAAGUUCACCUUUUCAUAUUUAUUCCUGCAAAAGUCCAAUGAUAUUUAUAUUUGCCCCUCUUGUUUGUUACCGUUAGAGCACUGUUUAUUUUUUAACAGAAGAUAAGCGAAAUGAUAUUUUUGUCAUCACAAAUAUGUCUUUCCAAAAGCCCCAACUGUUAAAAUUAUAAAAAAAUGUCCUCCUAAAAAUUUUCCACGAUCAUUUUCUUCCUUUUUACCGUGACAAAUAAUAUAAAAAGAGUAAAAAGAACUAUUUACCUCAUUCACUAACUAGGUUUAAUUAUUUUACUUACGGUUAACUAUAAUUUUCUAACAGAUCAUAACACCGGAGGUAUAUUUGAAAAUAUUAGAAUUUUGGUAGAGAUAAAUAUAAAAAGUUGAACUUUGUAGCAAUACAUUUGCUAUUUGAUAUAUUUACAGAGAGUCGUAUGAAAUUAACCCAAUUAAAUUCUAUAGAAAUGAACGUUUUUUGAAUAUUAAAUUUUAAAAUUGAAUGGCAUUAUUAAAGGUAUAAGAUAAUCCUAGCUAAUCUUAUAUACAAUUUCCUUAAGUAAAUGUACUACAUGCAUGGUGCUUAACAAUUUUAUUUAAAUUAUGCCUUUAAAUUUGGAAAUAAAAGGACAUAAAUAUUAAAAUAAUACGCUGUGAAGUAUACUACAAUAAUGUGUUGUACUUGUAGCCCGUAUCAUGUGGAUAGUUCCCGUACAAUCUUAAUAUUUUAGGCUGAUCCUUGUACUUUUUAUAUUAAAUAGAUUAAAAUUGAACUUUUGCAUGUAUCAUACUGUAAAUCUUUAAUCAUCUAAAUGAUUUAUUUUUUUAAUGUAAUUUUAUUUUGUUAUCUCUAUAAAAUGCCUGGAUUAUUUUAAUUUUAUCUAACAAAAUUGAUAAUACAAAGUUAAUAAUAUUAUUGGUAAAAUGUAUCAAAAACCCUGAACUUCGGGUCUUCCACAAAUAGACGGUUGAAUUGUUAAUUUUUAUAAUUAAAUUUUUCUAAACUUUAUCAAAUAAUUUAAUAGAUUUGGCCAUUCGAGUAAUUUUACUAAUUAUACAGUCGUUUUGAUUGGGUAUUUAGCAGCUAACUCUACAAGACUUCAAAAUACAAAGAAAUUUUUUUUUUGCCCUUUCAAUUUUGAUAACUAAGUAGGACGAGUGAGAAUGGGUCACUUUUAACUUUUAUUGCUUUUUACAUGUUAGAAUACAAAAAAUAAAUUUAUUUGUAUUUUAAAGCUUUAUAAAGCUAUAUCCAAUGCAUACCAUCAAAACGACUGAGUAAUUAAUAACGUACUUUAGUUGAGGAGACGGGUCUAUUAAACUAUUUGUUAAAGUUUAGAAAAAUAUAAUUGUGAAAAUUAAACGUUCAGGCAUCUAUUUGCAGCAGAGCUAAACUUCAGGAGCUCUCUAUACAUUUUACACAAAUAUUAUUUGGAAAAAAAAAAUACUAAUUCUAUAACCUACAAGGGAUUGUAAUCCCUACAACCCCUCAUCCAAAGAGUCUUGUUUGGAUAUUCGUAAAAAAAAUGAUGAGACAAAUAGAAAAAUAUGGGUCAUUGGAUGGAUGAGGUUGUAAAAUUACAACCCCAAAUGAGUUAUAGGCCUAGCAUUGCUUAUGUUAUUUUAGAGCAAAAUUUAAGAUUUUUAUUUAUAUAUAUAAAGACUAAAGUGUAAUAUGUGUUAAAAGCUUUUGAAACUUGGUGCAAAAAUGUUUGAUCCAGCGGCACAUUCUAACCCAAGAUAUAUAAUUAUAUAUUUAAAGUCAACCAUAUAAAGCAAUUCACCAUUUUAUUUAUUUAUUUUUUGGCAAACAUAUAUAUACUAUAAUUAUAAAUUAAUUUAUAUAAAAAAUAUUUAAUUAAUUUUAGUGUCAGCAAAUUUCACCUAGACUUCUAAAAGAAGAAAAUAUUAAAGAUCAUCCAACUCUAUUAGAGAAAACGGAGUGAUUGUAAAAGUAUAUAGAGAACAUAUGUUCUUGUUUGUCAGUGAGAUGGUUGAUAGUUACCAACUUAAUUAUUGCGACAUACACAAUAUAAUAUUACCUAUGAAAAUAAACAACUUUUUAGCUGAAUUUUUUACCGGCCAUAACGUAAUCUUUUUAUA